rnacentral:rRNA from 1 species
CCUACGGGAGGCAGCAGUGAGGAAUAUUGGUCAAUGGGCGGGAGCCUGAACCAGCCAAGUCGCGUGAGGGAAGACGGUCCUAUGGAUUGUAAACCUCUUUAGGCGGGGAGCAAUGCCGGGCACGUGUGCCCGGAGGGAGAGUACCCGCAGAAUAAGCAUCGGCUAACUCCGUGCCAGCAGCCGCGGUAAGACGGAGGAGGCGAGCGUUAUCCGGAUUUAUUGGGUUUAAAGGGUGCGUAGGCGGAUUUUUAAGUCAGCGGUAAAAUGUCCGGGCUCAACCCGGGCCGGCCGUUGAAACUGGGGAGCUUGAGUGGGCGAGAAGUAUGCGGAAUGCGUGGUGUAGCGGUGAAAUGCAUAGAUAUCACGCAGAACUCCGAUUGCGAAGGCAGCAUACCGGCGCCCGACUGACGCUGAGGCACGAAAGCGUGGGGAUCGAACAGGAUUAGAUACCCCAGUAGUC